AGGGUUAUUGACUUAUUGUCUGUUCUCAACUUCUCCAUGGACACGUACUCUAGCCAGUAUAGAUCCGUCGCCAAGGGGCCGAUAAGGUUCGAAAGUGAGGCUGCUGUGGAGGCCUUCAUCAAGAAGAGCUCAAGGCCCCGGAUGUCUGUUGAAGGAUUCAACCCUUACCGACCUGAGGAUGAAAUCAAGAGAGAAUUGGUUAAUCACUUCGAAUCAUGUGGCGAAGAAUUUAGGGUUAUUGUUCCAACAGACCCCAUUGUCGACAGUACGUGCUUUUGUUAUUCUUCUUGGACAUGGCGCAGAAGAGAAAGUGUUGCAACUUAAUGGAAGUGACAUCGGAGAUUGGAAUGCCCUUGUUAAGGCUGCACCCGAAGAAGAAGAGGAGGAAUACC